CUCGAAUAACGUGGAAAAACUCGCCCUAAGCCUAUAUAGGUCUCGUUUUCCCACACAUUAUAUCCAGGCAUUAUGCUAUGUUUGUAGUAAUAAGGCUUUUCAAAAAGCAAUUGAAAUUUUUAAUAACCACAAACCUGUAGACGCUCAGAAAUGCCAAGAUUGUAUGUGAUAAACCUUUUUUUCUUAUUAUGAAAUGUCACUCGCCCCAGGUUUCGAAGUGAAGCAGCGCAAAUUAUUAAGUACGGCUCAUGAAAAGCACGCCUGUCUAAAUCAAAAUUAGAAGUACGCCUAUUUUACUCGAGUAAAAUAUGAAUUAAGUUCGGCUCAUGAAAAGCACGGCGUCUAAACCGGGCCUUAACUGGGGCAUGAACGUUUAUAAGUCCGUAACAAUCAUGGAUAAUUUUGACAGAACUCAUUUGAACCCUGCAACCAAGGCCUGAAUUUCGAAUCGCAUGCAUCUAUAGCAAGGAUGAUCGUCAGAAUGUCAGUUGUUUGGAACAUGACAGCUUACACUGAUAAACUUGUGGUCCUCAAACUGUUAUAAACUACAAGCAAUAAUCCUAAAUCCUAAUCCUAAAAACUAAUAUUUAUACCAUAUAACGGUGGCCAACUCGAAAGCUUAAUCUCAGCUACUUUGGCCACUGUACACGAUAUAAUACCAUAAUUAACUCCCUUUUUUUUCCCUUCCAUUAUGAUUUUUUUGUGAUGUAAUUAAUGUCUAACUAUAUCUUUUUGUAAACGUGUGAAAUAAAUUUGAAUUGAAUUGAAUAUAUGUUUCGUAGUUAUCAUUUCAUGUUUAUCAUGCCAUAUUUCGUCAGUUCUUGUUAGUUAGCACAUGUUUCGUGAGUCGGACUAGUGAUGUUUUACAGGGAAACGCGGGGGAACGCCGUCCUCC